rnacentral:tRNA from 1 species
GCCCGGAUGGUGGAACGGUAGACACAGGGGUCUUAAAAACCCCGGCCCUUACGGGCAUGCGGGUUCGAGUCCCGCUCUGGGCA